rnacentral:rRNA from 1 species
AUUGAACGCUGGCGGCAUGCCUUACACAUGCAAGUCGAACGGCAGCACGGGGGCAACCCUGGUGGCGAGUGGCGAACGGGUGAGUAACACAUCGGAACGUGUCCUGUUGUGGGGGAUAACCAGUCGAAAGACUGGCUAAUACCGCAUGAGCUGGAGACAGGAAAGCGGGGGACCUGAAAGGGCCUCGUGCGAUUGGAGCGGCCGAUGUCCGAUUAGCUAGUUGGUGGGGAAAGGCCCACCAAGGCGACGAUCGGUAGCUGGUCUGAGGGGAUGAUCAGCCACACUGGGACUGAGACACGGCCCAGACUCCUACGGGAGGCAGCAGUGGGGAAUUUUGGACAAUGGGGGCAACCCUGAUCCAGCCAUGCCGCGUGAGUGAAGAAGGCCUGGUGUAAG